rnacentral:rRNA from 1 species
GACGCUGGCGGCACGCCUAACACAUGCAAGUCGAACGGAGAUUUGAGAGCUUGCUCUUGAAUCUAGUGGCGGACGGGUGAGUAACACGUGAGCAACCUGCCUCUGAGAGAGGGAUAGCUUCUGGAAACGGAUGGUAAUACCUCAUAACAUAGCUGGACCGCAUGAUCCGGUUAUCAAAGAUUUAUCACUCAGAGAUGGGCUCGCGUCUGAUUAGCUAGUUGGUGAGGUAACGGCCCACCAAGGCGACGAUCAGUAGCCGGACUGAGAGGUUGAACGGCCACAUUGGGACUGAGACGCGGCCCAGACUCCUACGGGAGGCAGCAGUGAGGGAUAUUGCACAAUGGAGGAAACUCUGAUGCAGCGAUGCCGCGUGGAGGAAGAAGGUUUUCGGAUUGUAAACUCCUGUUUCGAGGGACGAUAAUGACGGUACCUCGGGAGGAAGCUCCGGCUAACUACGUGCCAGCCGCUGC